CCUACGGGAGGCAGCAGUAGGGAAUUUUCGUCAAUGGGCGCAAGCCUGAACGAGCGAUGCUGCGUGAGUGAAGAAGGCCUUCGGGUCGUAAAGCUCUGUUGCGGGGGAAAAAAGGCAGCAUCAGGAAAUGGGUGCUGACUGAUGGUGCCCCGCCAGAAAGUCACGGCUAACUACGUGCCAGCAGCCGCGGUAAUACGUAGGUGGCGAGCGUUAUCCGGAAGGAUUGGGCGUAAAGGGUGCGCAGGCGUUCCUGCAAGUCUGGAGUGAAACGCAUGAGCUCAACUCAUGAAUGGCUUUGGAAACUGGAGGACUGGAGAGCAGGAGAGGGAGGUGGAACUCCAUGUGUAGCGGUAAAAUGCGUAGAUAUAUGGAAGAACACCAGUGGCGAAGGCGGCCGCCUGGCCUGUUGCUGACGCUGAGGCACGAAAGCGUGGGGAGCAAAUAGGAUUAGAUACCCUAGUAGUC
rnacentral:rRNA from 1 species